AUUCCUGGUUUCUCUAUCUCUACAGUUCAAUUGAAGCAUGAUAAUGUUUGAUCUGAAUCUCUAGAUAGUUUAUUAUGAUUUCAUAACGAUUUCUUCUUCUGUUUAUUAUGGAAAUUGAACUCGAUUGUUAUUUGUGAAUAAUUUAAUCAUUCCAUUGACACAUUUAUGGCUUACUCUGCUGGUUAGUAGCUUAAUAGCAUUAGAAUUGAUAAUCCACCAUUGAAGUUGUAUAUAUUAAGCACAAGCUUAAUGAUAUCUACAGUUGAAUUGAAGUAUAAUAUUAUUUGAUCUGAAUCUCUGGAGAGUUUAUUAUGAGUUCAUAACGAAUUCCUCUUCGGUUUGUUACAGAAAUUGAACUCAAUUGCUAUUUAUGAAUAAUUUCAUCCUUCCAUUGACAUAUUCAUGGUUUACUCUGCUUGUUGGUAGCUUAAUAUCAUUAGAAAUGCUAAUCCACUAUUGAAGUUGUAUAUAUUAAGCACAAGCUUUAUGAUCUCUAUAGUUGAAUUGAAGCAUACUAUUCUUUGAUUUGAAACUCUCGAGAGUUUAUGAUUUCAUAACCAUUUUUUCUUCUAGCCAGUUAAUUCUGAUAAUGUUAUUGUUGGAUCUCUUUAAUAUAUUCCUUUAAAUUCAGGUGCGUAUCUAUAUCAUCAUUCUUUUUGAUUUCUUAAUCUAUUAUUGCUUGAUUGAAACAUAUUUUAAUGUUUUUUACUUUUUUUUGUUCAAAUGUUUGCAGUUCCUAGUGAGCCAUAAUAUCAUUCUUAGAUUUUUUUUCUCAAAUCAAUUCAGAGGCUGAAACAGAGUUCCAUAACUUCUUUCAACAAGGAUUUUCAACAAGGAUACUCUAAGAAGGUUUGCAGAAACAGUCUCAUUGGAUUCAGCAAAACAUAUGCCGUGGCUUGUUGAAAACAUUAUUUUUCUUGGUCUUAUUGGAUUCAUCCAUGGAGCAGAAGAUUGACACGCAUAAUAAUUAUGGAUGGAGACUGCAAUAUAUUUUUGGAGCAACUUUUUCAAGUCAAUAUUGGUGCCAAUUUGAGACAACUCAAUGCUGAGAUAUUGCUUGCCUUGUUCUAGAGGUUGCUGGAGAAAUUUUUUACUACGGUUUCAUCAGGUUUCUACAAGGAUGAUGAGCAGGGUUGGCUGUGUUUAGAGGAUUUCUGUCUUUUUCUCUUCAUCUAAGUCAAAACAUGUUUUCCAUGAGCAUCUCAACUUUCUAGUCACAAAAUUCAAGAAUUCCCAAGGCAGAUUUUUAUCUUGAUUUUCACUGAAGAAGGUGAAAGUGGAAAAUGGAGUCACUUUCUCGGGGAACUGCUAAGCUUAAUGGUUGAAUUUAAAACAUUGUUACUAUCUAAUAAAAAUGUGAUUUUCUCGUUUUUACAUCUGUUCUGGGCUGCUCAGGCAAUAAUCUUCUACUGCCAGAAACAAUUGGAGAAAGGUCUUUAACUGAUUUUAUAGUACUUUUUUUGUUCAUCUUAUACAUAUUCCAGGCCAUUGUAUGAUCUUUUCCUCUCCAUUAUAGUUUUUGGUACUUUAUGCCUAUACCAUAGAGAGUUGCAUAACUUUACUACAAUAUUUAGUAACCACAUCCCAUUCUUUUCAGUUUUGAAAAAUCUAAAAAGAAUCAGAUGAUGCAUUUCAUUGUUGGCUUUGCUCUAACCUUCCUUCUUUUGCACUGGUAAGUUGUCAAAGGUUCUUAAUUUCUUUUGCUUGUUGUACACUUGUAUUGCUACUGUGCUUGAGCAUAUGUUUUUUAUAUAAUUGAGAUCUUUGUUAACAAACUUGUGUUCCCCCGCCCUCUCCCUUCACUUUACAACUAAACAUCCUUUCUUUGGUCAAAGGAGUGGACGGUCAACUCUUACAUGUAAAAGAUGUUAAAAUAUUGGCUAGCAUUCUUUUGAAAAGGCGCCAUGAAUAUCAUAUUCAACAUGCAGAGUCUUGUCAAAAGUUGUCAAAGACAGGGGUUUAUAUCCUCUGGCUUCUACUAGAGACCUGUGCUGAAUUUGUAUCUUUUUCACCUGGUGAAUGUGAAGACCUACUAUUGGAGGUGCUGUAGCAGGGUGAGCCAGCCUCUAAAGAUCCAGAUGUUUUGCUGCCUUUCAUAAUUGUCUUGAGGAGUCCCACUAACUCAUCUUUUGGAGCUAUGAGUAAUAAAAAUCAGUUAUGCUUAAGUCAGAUGAUGAAGUUGAGAAUGUGAUUGCAAAAGUACAGAAUGGAAUGGCUGAAAAAGAUGUGGUUGCAGGUCAAAAGAAAAUUAUUUCAGAGGUUGUUGCUAUGAAGCUUUCCGAACUUAACUGCAGCUCCAAGCAAUCUGAUUUAGCUAAAAAUCAGUUAGAAAGUUGUAGACAGAUGCAUGUAGAGAAGU